rnacentral:rRNA from 1 species
ACUACGUGGCGCAGCAGUCGAGAAUCAUUCACAAUGGGGGAAACCCUGAUGGUGCGACGCCGCGUGGGGGAAUGAAGGUCUUCGGAUUGUAAACCCCUGUCAUGUGGGAGCAAAUUAAAAAGAUAGUACCACAAGAGGAAGCGACGGCUAACUCUGUGCCGGCAGCCACGGUAAUACAGAGGUCUCAAGCGUUGUUCGGAAUCACUGGGCGUAAAGCGUGCGUAGGCGGUUUCGUAAGUCGUGUGUGAAAGGGGCGGGCUCAACCCGCGGACGGCACAUGAUACUGCGAGACUAGAGUAAUCGAGGGGGAACCGGAAUGCUCGGUGUAGCAGUGAAAUGCGUAGAUAUCGAGAGGAACACUCGUGGCGAAGGCGGGUUCCUGGACAUUAACUGACGCUGAGGCACGAAGGCCAGGGGAGCGAAAGGGAUUAGAUACCCGUGUAGUC